CCUACGGGAGGCAGCAGUGGGGAAUAUUGCACAAUGGGGGAAACCCUGAUGCAGCGACGCCGCGUGAGUGAAGAAGGAAUUCGUUAUGUAAAGCUCUAUCAGUAGGGAAGAAAAUGACGGUACCUGAGUAUGAAGCCCCGGCCAACUACGUGCCAGCAGCCGCGGUAAUACGUAGGGGGCAAGCGUUAUCCGGAUUUACUGGGUGGAAAGGGAGCGUAGACGGUAGUGCAAGUCUGGAGUGAAAGGCGGGGGCUCAACCGCCGGACUGCACUGGAAACUGUACGGCUGGAGUGCAGGAGAGGUAAGUGGAAUUCCUGGUGUAGCGGUGAAAUGCGUAGAUAUUAGGAGGAACACCAGUGGCGAAGGCGGCUUACUGGACUGUAACUGACGUUGAGGCUCGAAAGCGUGGGGAGCAAACAGGAUUAGAUACCCGAGUAGUC
rnacentral:rRNA from 1 species